rnacentral:lncRNA from 1 species
UUAUAGUAUUAUUAAGAAUUUCAUUAAUACAUAUUUGUUUUAACUGUUAAAUGAUAAAAUCCAUGUAGACGUGCCCAGCAUAGUUUGUGUCAGGUAAGUAAUCAUUCAGCAAAUGUUACCUAGUACUGCUGUUGUUACUAUUACUACUUCUACAAGUACUACUACUGCUAGAAUGUUUACUAGUAACACAAAGAGCACUUUUACUUACCACUUUCUCAGUCAUUUCUCAGUCAAUUCUAACAGCAGUUCUAGAAUAGAAUGCUAAUAACAAUUUCCUGUGAUGAGAAAUGUGAGUGAAUUCGAACACGCUGGAAUUUAAUCUAAGAACCCAUAAUGGCAAGUAAGUAUCAUUAAGUCAUUGUUCAUAAUCAGUAUUAAUGGUUAAUAAUUGUAAUUUUUACUAACAUCAAAAAUUUUUAUUGUUUUCGUGCACAUAGAAACUUUUUGUUAAAGUGGCUUUUUUAGGAUGCCAGGAAAGAGAGUGUUGUAAAUUCAUUUUCUUUUUUUUCUGUUGGUUUUUAAUGAUAUGUACACUUACCUCACAGUAACUAGUGAAUCUAAGAUACACAUGCACACACACACACACACACUCUUACAUAACUUUUGCAUACCUAUUUUCUUUUAUUUUUAUUUUUUCAUUUUUUUCAAGGAAUGAUUUGCCCUGAGCUAACAUCUGUUGCCUAUCUUCAUCUUUUUUUUUUCCUUCCCAAAGCCCCAGUUCGUGGUUGUAUAUCCUAGUUGUAAGUCGUUCUAGUUCUUCUAAAUGAGCUGCUCCCACAGCAUGGCAAGUGACAGGUGGGUGGUGUGGUUACACAACUGGGAACUGAACCCGAAGCGGUAAACACUGAACUUUGACCACUAGGCCAUCAGAACUGGCUCCCUAUUUCCUUUUAAGAAUGUAAACUCCAUGGUAACUUAAUGUUGAAAUGCGUUUUCUGUGUUUAAACAAACAUACACUCUGUCCCUAUAAUGGACACCAGCGUCUGCAUUUCUUUGAGUGUGUCUUGUGCCUGUCAUUUUGCAAAACAUUUCAUCACACUCUGAGUUUUGUGUAAUAUAGUCAAUCUGUGAAUGUGAAAAAGAUUUUUACCCUUCUAGAUCAAAAGCAUUUUCUGUUUUAAAAUUCAGCUCUGGAAUUAAAGUGGUAUACGUUUGGGUUACUGAUACAAACUGAGGGUGUAAGAAAUUUUCCAACAUAUACAUGUUUUCCUACAUACCACAACAUCUUGCCUUCUCUUCUAGCAAAGUCUCUGAAUUAUUUGGGCAAUAACCCCAUGUGUUAAAUAUUUAACUUUUGACAAUACCAUUGAGGAUCUGAUGUGGAAAAUGUAAGAAGUCUUUCUGAGGAUUUUUUGAAUAAUGUUAAUAUUCAUAUUUAGAUGUUAAAAAUAUUAUCACUUUGUAAAGUUUUCCUGAACAUCUGUAUUUUCAGUGUGCUUUGCUACUGAUGGAUUUGGGCAAAAUCAAUAUCAUUGCAAAGUAAACUUUGCUCACCUGCUGAUUUUGGUAGAUUCUAUACAGUUUUGUUUUCCUCAGGAAAGCCAUGCAGUACUCUUCAUGAAUAUCUAGAAAAGGUACGCUAAAAGCAUUCUUAGCAAUUUUUUUAGACUGAUUAUAUUCUUAUCCCCAUUGUCUUUACUGACUCUUACUAUUGGACAGAUAUGUGACUAGUUUUUCCAACCCAACUUACUUCUCUGUGAAUUUUCCUUAUAUUUUAGAUCAUUCUAGUUAGAUUAUUACAGUUUUACUUUUUAUGAAUUAAUUGAAAUAAAGCCUUAUAUAAUCAAUUAUUAUCUGGUUUAGAAUGAAAUGCUAAACAAGUUUUGGAAGACAAGGGAUCUAAUCUUGUGGUGAGAAAAUUGCUUUUUCUUCUGUGUUUCUUUUCAGGUUCCAAAUGUACUUUGUGCUCUCGGUAUGUAAUCAUUCACUGACUGACGCCUAUUACUAUCACAACUACUAAUAUGAACCAUAACUACUACUAUGAUGACUAAUUUUACAAGUAUUUCUAAGACAAAACUCAAUUUUUAUCUUUUAAAGUGUGGGAAGUCCUUGGAUAUUUAAAGGCUAAACAACUUGCUAAUGUGCCACUCUAAGUAGACUUUUAAAAAAUACAUGUUCUAGUGAUUUUUAAUGAAAAUUUCCAAUUCUCAGUGUAACACAGUGGGAACAUGUCGUUUAAUGAUUAAUGUAUUACUUUUUAUAAAUAUCCUACAUAUCUCUUUUUAUCCAUGCGUAACUACCUGGAGCUUAACAAAGAACAGUGUUUGUCACGUGCCACCUGGACCCCCGGCAACUGUGAAGACUUUAGUUAUUAAAGACAAGCAAUAGGAUAGUGAAGGGAAGUCCUCACUAACAAGAAGGACUUUGCCUAGGUUCACAUCAUGUGGGUUUGUAUGGUAAGUCUGAGGAGGAAAUAACUAUGUCAUUGACAUAUGUGCCUUUGAUGGAAAUGGAUGCUGUGAUGAUUUGACAGUUAUGGAUCGCUGUCACAUUUUAGAUUAUAAGUUUAUUUUACACCUUUCUUCAUUCAAAACUCAAAACAAUCCUAUGAUGUAAAUAAAAAAAGUUUGAUAAUUAAAUUCAAUAGUCCAAAAAUUUGAUCUAAAUACUCCAUAUGAAAGGUAAAUAAAAUCAAGUCAAUGUAAAUAUUAGGUACUGUUUUUAUUAUUACUCUUUUAAUAUCAAAAUUUUAAUCAUUAUUUUAAUGAUGAGAAAUACUGAUGAAUGUGGAAUCUAGUGAAUUGUUCAUGGCCCCUAAUAUAAUGAGUGAUAUAAAUUCACAUUUAUUGUUUGAAAGAAUGAAAUGUCUUUAGUGAUUUUUUUCUAAUAAUCGAUGUAGUGUGAUUUCAGUAAGUAGUAAACCUGAGCAGAAACUUUUUAUAUUUCUUAGAAGUGUUUUAACUGAUAUGAACUUUAUGGUAUAUUAGUAUUCAAAAGCUUUACAUGUUUGAAUGAGAAUGUAGUACUCUGGUAUGAAAAGAACUAUAAUGUAUGUGGGGGUGCCCACGAUUUUACUAGAAUGGGAUCCUGUAUGUGCAUUCUGUUAUCUGAUUGAUUAAUCCGUGAACAUAAGACUAUGGAUAUCGAUCCACAUUGUAAAUCAUAUAUCGUAUUUGUAUUUUAAAAUUCAACUCUUUAAUCCAUGUGGGAUAUGUUUGGUUUUGUAAUAUCACACGACUAUGUAAAUUUUAAAAAUAUUUGUUGAAUCACAUACAGGUUCUCAAUUCCAUUCAAAUCCCAUCUGUAUGAGUUGUUAAGCCAUUCCUGAAAUUUAGUAAUCACUGUAACCUUUGAUGGUCCUAUUUAGGAAAAGGGGAAGCAAAUUACAUGCCUUACUCAUUUUAUCUGUCUAAUUCUUGAACAGUCACAACUAUUUAUAUUCGGUAGUUAUUAUUAACAUCAUUUUUUUAAGUUCCCUUUAGUAAGCGACCUUGAGUUUUGAUUAUAGGAUGCAAAUUUAGGAAUUUGUGGAACAUAAACAUCUUUAAAAAGUUCUGUUCAUUCAUCCUCUGGUAUGAGAACAUGAUCAGUUACACAACCCAGCCAUUUUCAACUCAAGAAAAUUAUGCUGCUUCCUUCAUGAAAGUCUGCACAUUAUGUGAUAGGUUUAUUCUUAGCAGAUGUAUAUUUUCCUUCUGUUUUGAAUGAAAUCUUAUUUCCAAGAUCUUUAUGGACUUUAUGGUCCUUUUGGUGGUACGUGGUACCCAAGAAAGUUACUAACUUCAUUUUACAAGGAUUCAUUUGUAUGCUGAGAACCAGUUCCUACCAAGUUCAGAAGGAUUUUGCUUUCACCUCAUCCAUGUUUGCCCUGGCUUACUUUCCUUGUUUUUUUUUUUUUUGAGGAAGAUUAGCCCUGAGUCAACAUCCACCGCCAAUCCUUCUCAUUUUGCUGAGGAAGACUGGCCCUGAGCUAACAUCUGUGCCCGUCUUCGUCUACUUUAUAUGUGGGAGGCCUGCGACAGCAUGGCUUGACAAGCAGUGCGUAGGUCUACACCCGGGAUCUAAACCAGCGAACCCCAGGCUGCUGAAGCAGAGCUCUCAAACCUAACCACUGCACCACCAGAUCAGCUCUCUGGCUUUCUUUUUUAUGGAAAAAAUUUUGAGAGAGAUUAAAUUUGAUAAGUAGAAUUCCUGCAUAAUUUAUUUCUCCACAAGUGUCAAAUGGAAGUAUCAGCCUGGAGUCCCAAGUACAUUGUUUGCUGAUACUUAAAUUAUUACUAGUACUAUUGUUAGUGCUUCUGUUACUAUCACUGCUGCUACUGCUUCUGUUACUACUAAUACUAUGACUACUUCUGUAUUCUUUGGUAGCAUUAACAGCAGGUUCCAUUAUCACCUUUUAUCAGGUAAGAAAUUCACGAUUUGUAGAGGAUUAUAGCUCUGCUAAUGUCUCAAAAAUGAGUCGACAAAAUUGUUUUAUUAAUUUGUUAGGAUCUAGUAAUUUUUACAUGACUGUUUUACAUGAGUAAGGAAACAAUUGAUAAUGAGAUGUGUAAUAAUCUCCCAUGAAAAAUUACUUCCCCACCACAUCUCACUUUUAACCAGUAAUAUACUUGGUGGAUAUCUUUCAAUAAUAUUUUCCAUGUUAAAUCGUAAUGCCAGUGGUGUAGGGGUUGGUUUAUAUUUCAUAUAAAACUGUAGAACAUUCAUGGCCUAUAAUUAUGUUUUUGUUUACUUUCCAAAAAAUUCCAUGGAUACCCACACCAAAAGAAAUACAUUUUUAUUUAUAUUCAAACUUGAAAUUGCAAAGAAUGCAUUGGCAUGUGGAUUAAUGGGUACAAUUGACAACCUUGCUAAAUUGUUUCAUUGAAUUCUUCACAGUUCUAGCCAAAACCACCGUGUUUUAAUAGUAUUACAGAUUGUGUGUGUGUGUGUGUGUUGUGUGCUAUUGCCAAUGUUCCUUAUGACUUACCUCUUUUGAGUUUGUUCUAGGUAUUGGUUUAGGCCCACAUGUGAGUCUCAAAUCAAAAUUAUUCAGGUAGAAAAAAGAUGAUUGCAGUAACCAGAGCAACAUUGCUGCUUGUUGAUACCAUGGGGCCUUGGCAACCCACUUAGACCCCAGAAAAUGGAGAAACCCAUAGAACCUAAACAUCGGCAGUGGAAUAGUGGGAUUUUACCUUCAGUAAUAAUAGCAGCAUUUCCAAGGUUAAGAUCUUGUGUGUUUAUAACUAGUCUCUAAAUUGGGACUGGCUGUCACGUUAAGACUGAGUCUUGAUAGCUGCAGCAAGGAACAUUGUGACAUACUACUCAGUGAUUUACCUUUGUCAUAUUUUAGGUUACUGAAGUGUUUUAUACAGGUUGCCCCAUUCAAACCUGACAGCAAACCUGUGAUAUAAAAUGAAUAAUGGUUUUAGUAUGACGCGAGUGUUACCUCAAGCAAAUUAAAUGAUCUCCAAAUAUAUAUUAAGCACUCUACUUGGCUGAAGGAAAUUAUUGGUGACUGGAAAGAUUGUACAAGGUGCCACAGGAAAGAAAUGACAAUUCCAGAAGGGUAACAACCUUCCUCUGUACAAUGAAUUGCAGUACUCAAUAAAUCCAUGUCCCACUUCGUCAGAGUCGCUUAGUCACCAAGGAUCACAUCUGUUCUUAGAACUGACCUCUCAUGUCAUGAGUUUGGAUGAACUGUCAGUUCCUUCCGGUUCCAGAAAUAUCUACCCAUGUUUCUUCAUCCAUCCUCACAACCAACCCAUGUCAGUGAGGUAGUAAAAGGUUCAGUGACACAAAUUGGAUGUGGGGAUCAAAUGAGAUAAUCUACCUAAAAGCUUCAUGGACAUUGCAUGCCAGGAUCCAAAGUAUCUUCAUUUGUCUUCUUGCUGAUCCUCAGGACAAAUCUAUGUUGAUGAAUUAGUAAGGGAUUCAGUAACACGGAUUUGUCAUGAGGGUAAAUGAGAAAAUCUACAUAGAAGCCCCCAGUAAAAUAUAUGCUAUAUAAAUAAGGAGCAGAGUAUCGUGUCGUAUUUAAAUGAUACUUGGUAAGUAUGGGAUUUUUUGUUUUGAUACAGGGGCCCCUAAGGCCACGCUCAGGCAUGCUGCUUCACUAAAAAGAUUCACAAAGGCUCAGAGGUGGUUAUACUCAUGGUUAUGGUUUAUCACUAUGAAAAGAUACAGAUUAAAAUUGGUAAAGGGGAAAGAGACAUUGCUUAAUUCCAGGAGAAACCAGGCAUAAGCUUCCAGUUGCCCCUUCCAGUGGAGUCACAAGGAAUGUGCUUAAUUCUCCCAGGGAUAACGUGUGAAGUGUUGCCAACCAAAGACGGUUACCGAAGCCUGGGUAUCCAGGAUUUUUAUUGGGAGUCAGUCACCUAGACUUGCAGCACUUGUAUGACUGACCUCAGCUAUUCAGACUCCCAGAGCGAAAACAGGUGUUUCCCGUAAAUCACAGUGUUAGCAUAAACUAUCUGGUCAUACUGGUGCAGUGUUUCCAAAGACAUGGCAGAGGCAUUCUUAUCAGACAGAACAUUCCAAGGGCUCAGAGCUAAACUUCUAGGCAUCUGCCAAGGGCCAGUACAGAAAAUGGACCUUACUUGGGAAUGUGCAGGGCUUGAGCAACUCAGGCCUGCUGAGUUAACCCUUUCUUGCACAGAUUCUGAUAGUUUCUGCAUUACUUUAAUUUUCAUUUCCUAAAUAUACUUCCUACAUAUUUCUUCAAUUAAUUCUCAUGACAAAUAAUGAACUGUAGAAUUGUGAUUUUUUGGUAUAUAUUUAUUGUGGUUAAGUAUGGAAAUCCACAUGAAAGUCCAAACUGCCUUAUCUGCUAGGUACAUAAUCAUUCUGCAAAGUUUCCUUUUCAUUGUUGGCAUCACUACUCCUUUUCUGCUACAUGCCUUAAUAUCUCUACCAGUACUUUUACUAGUAAUAGGAAGAGCAUGUUCAGUUAUCACUCUCAGAGUGUGGUGGUGUUUGUUUUUCAUAUGCAUGUUGGAAUAUAUUCUGCCUAAUUUUAUUCAGUGUUUAUUUACUAGAACAUACUAUGGAUAUCUAUUCCAAGAUAGAUGAUUUCUCUAGAAUUCAAGCCUCAAAGCAACUGCGACAUGUGUAAGGGGUGCUUACGAUCCAGUGAGGGAAGCAGUCCAAGACAUCGAUACUCGCGCUGAUAGAAGCUAGAAUGUGUUCAGGGCUACAGUAGACCUACAGACAGAGCCUGGUUGGAGAACAAGAGGUGGAUCCCGACUCUGUGCAUCUGUGAAAGUCUCUUGGAGGAGGGAGAAGCAAACCAUUUUCAAAGUCGCAAUCCUGCCACGUGAAGACCUACCUGCAUGUAAGAGAAGAUAAAGAUAAUUCCCAUUAGAAGAACAAGAACAAGCUUGUUCUCUCUGGGUCCUCUAAUCGUCCAGGAAAGCUUAGAGCAGGUGAGGGAAUCACCACUGAGGGAAGGAUGAAAGCUGGAGGGAGAGGGGAGGCUUUACCUAGGGUUAUGGAAAAUCUUAAGUACAGUCCUCAUGAUGUGGAGGAAAAGAGAAGAAAACUACAUUUGAGAGUGCAAGGGGGACUGUGCAGGUCCUCCACCUUGAAGCCAUGCUGUGUGCAGUGCCCUGCCCAGGAUGGUGCUCAUCACUUAAACCAUGUGUAAUUAAUGCUCAUCUAGUUAGAGUUAUGCUCAACAAGAAUGAUUGUGGUGGCCUUCAGACUGGUAAUGAGGAUGGAGAUGCUUGUGUCCUUGAGCUGCCUGCUUUGCACUCAUCUAAGCCAUUGUAGCUACCUGAUCUCAGGCAUCUUCAAAAUGAUUUCAGUGGUCUAUUACUACCAAUGUGAACACCUAUAGGUUAGAGUGGAUGAACAUACAUCUUAAUAAAAAAGGAGAAAACAAGAACAAGCUUGUUCUCUCCGGGUCCUCAUAACCAUCCAGGUAAGCAGAGGGCUGUGGGGGAUCCAGUGGUGCUGAUCACUUAGAUUACUUUUAAUUAGUGCCUAUCUGGGUAGAGUAACGCUCUAGAACAACAUUUCUGGAGUCCUCCAGACCAAUGAUGAGGAUGGAGUAUAUGUCUACUUUUGCUGCCUGCCUUGAACUCAGGAGGACCCUAGCAGCCAGCUGGAUCUCACACAUCCUCAAGAAGAUUUCAGUGGUCUGUUAUUAUGAAUGUAAACAUCUACAGGUUAGAAAAGAUAAAGAUUCUUCUUAACAGAAGAAGAGAAAACAAGAACAGGUUUGUUCUUUAUGGGAUCUCAUAAUCAUCUAGGUAAACGUAGAGCAGGUGAGGGCAUCCUGAGUGAAAGGGGGAAUCAAGUUGGAGUGCAGUGGAGUGCAGUCCUAACAAUGCCAACACCUAUGAGUUAGAGUAGAUGAAGAUAGUUCCUAAAGGAAGAAGAGAAAAUAGGAGCAAACAUGUUCUCUCUGGGACCUCAAAAUCAUCCAAGGAGUAGGUGAAGUGAUCCACACUAAGGGAGAGUUGCAAUUGGAGGGCAGUGGGUCAGCAUUGUGUAUGGUUAUGGAAAAAUCUUGGGUCCAGUCAUCAUGAUGUGGUAGAGAGACUCAUGGAAGCUAAAUUUGAGAAGGUGAGGGAGACUAGACAGUUCCUCCUCCAUGAGCCAUCCUGUGUGCAAGGCCCUGCCCAGAAUGGUGCCGAUUAUGCAGACUAUGUGUAUUCAGUGACUUCUAAGUAGAGUGAUGCUCAAGAAGAACAAUGUUUUUGGUGUCCUUAGGACCAGUGAUUGGAGUGGAGCUUCAGGUGUUGUUGAGCUUCCUGCCUUGACCUCAAGAGGGCCCUGGCAUCCACCUGAAUCUCAGGCACUCUCAAAAGGGUUACUGUUGUCCAUUUCUAAGUAUGUGAACACUUACAGGAUAGAGAAGAUGAAGAUUCUUCCUAAUAGGAAAGAGGAGUAAGCUUGUUGUCUCUGGGUCUUCAUAAUUAUCCAGGUAAACAUUGAGCAGGUGGGGUGAUCCCGAGUGAGGAAGGGAUGAAAUCUGGAGGGUGGUGACUGGGCACUGUCUAGGGUUAGGAAAACGUCUUCUGUACGGUCAUGAUAAUGUGGGGAGAGAGAUGAAGGCUACGUUGGAGAGUACUUGGAGGAGUGGGCCAGUUCUCCCCCUUUAGCCAUGCCGUGUGCUGUGUCCUACCCAGAAAGGUACUGAUAACUUAGACUACAUGUAGUCAGUGUCUUUCUGGGUAGAGUAAUGCUCAGCAAGAACAACAUUGGUGGUGGCCUGUAGCAGUGACAGGAGUGGAGCUGCAGGUGUCCUUGAGCUGGCCUGCAUUGCAUUCAGGAAGGCCUGAUAGCCAUCUGGAUCUCAGGCAUCCUCAAGAUGAUUUCAGUGGGCCAUUCCUACCAAUGUGAUCUCCUACAGGUUAGAGAAGAUGAAGACACUUCCUAAGAGAAGAAACGUAAAAAGGGAUAAGCUUGUUCUCACUGCAUCUUCAGAAUCAUCUCGUAAACAUAGAGCAGGUGAGGGGAUUUUCACUGAGGGAAGGUUGGAAUUGGAGGGCAGUGGGUUUUCUUCUCUAUGGUUAUAGCAAAACUUGGGUACAGUCAUCGUGACAUGAUCAGGACAGAGAAUGAAGCUACUUUUGAGAAUGUGAGGGCAACUGGGCAGAUUCUCCACUUUGAUCCAUUCUGUGUGCAGUGCCCUAUCCAGUAAGGUACUGAUCACUUAGACUAUAUGGGAUCAGUGCCUGUCUGGGUGGAGUAAUGCUUGACAGGAACAACAUUUGGGAGGGUCUUCAGACUGGUGCUGGGGAUGAAAUGCAUGUUUCCUUGAGCUGCUAAACUUGAGCUCUAGACGUCCCUUGGAAGGAACUGGGUCUGAUCUGGGUCACCCUUAAAAUGAUUUCCGUGGUCCAUUCCUAACAAUGCCAACAACUAUGAAUUAGAGUACAUGAAGAUAUUUCCUAAUAGAAAGAGAGAAAGGAGGAGCAAGCUGCUUCACCACAUACAGCAGGUGAGGUGAUCCCCAUUAAGGGAUGUUUGCAAAUUGGAGGGCAGUUGGUCAGCAUUGUCUAGAGUGACAUAAAAAUCUUGAGUACCACCACCAUGAAUUGUGAGGAGAGUCAUGAAAGCUACAUUAGAGAGUGCGAAGGCGACUGGACAGGUCCUGUGCCUUGAGCCAUGCUAUGUGUAGGGCCCUGUGAAGAAUGCUGCUGAUUAAUUAGAUUAUGUUUACUUGGUGCCUUCUGGGUAGUGAUGCUCAACAAGAAAAAGAUUUGUGGUGGAUUUAGGACCAGCAGUUGGAGUGAAGCUCAGGUGUUGUUGAGCUUCCUGUCGACUUCAGGAGGGCCCUGGAAUCCACCUGGAUCUCAGGCAUCCUCAAGAAGAUAGCUGUGGUCCGUUCCUAACAUUGUGAACACGUACAGGCUACAGAAGAUGAAGAUUAUUCCUAAUAGAAGAAUAGAAAACAGAGGAAGCAUGUCAACUCGGGUCGUUAGAGUCAUCCAGGUAAAUCAAGAGCAGGGAAGCAGGUCCCCACUGAGGUAGAGAGUUAAGACGGAUGGCAGAGGGUCAGUGUUUUCUAGGGUUAUGGAAAAAUCUUGUGUACAGUCAUUAUCACGUGGUGGGGAGAGAAUGAAAGCUUCAUCUGAGAUUAGGAGAACGACUGGGCAGAUCCUUCACCUUGAGCCAUGCUGUGUGCAGUGCCCUACCCACAAGGUACUGAUCUCGUAGACUAUGUGUAAUUAGUACCUUUCCGGCAACUGUAAUGCUCCACCAGAAUAUGUGUGGAAGCCUUCAGACCAGUGCUGGGGAUGGAGAUGCAUGUGUACUUGAGUUGUGGACUUUGCCCUCAGGAGGGCCCUGACAGCCACCUGUGCUUGAUCUCAGGCAUCCUACAGAGGAUUCCUGUUGUCCAUUCCUAACUAUGUGAACACCUGGAGGUUAAGGAAGACAAAGAUUGUUCCUAAUAAGAAAGAGGAGCAAGCCUUUUCUCUCUGGGUCCUUGUAAUUAUCUAGGUAACCGUAGAACAGGAGAGGUGAUCCCAAGUGUGAGACGGUUGCAAGUUGGAUGGCAAUGGGUCAGAAUUGUCUAAAGUUAUGGAAAAAUCUUGGGGAAAGUCAUCAUAAUGUGGUGGAGAGUCAUGAUACCUACAUUUGAGAGUGCGAAGGAGUCUGGACAGGUCAUCCACCUUGAGCCAUAUGGCGUGCAGUGACCUGCCCAGGAUGUUGCUGUUUACUUAGACUACGUGCAUUCAGUGCCUUGUGGGAAGAGUGAUGUUCAACAAGAAGAAUGUUUUGGUGGACUUAGGAGGAAUGAUGGGAAUGGAGCCUCAGCUGUUCUUGAACAUCCUGCCUUGCCCUCAGAGGGGUCUGGCAACAGCCUGGAACUCAGGCAUCCUCAAGGAUGUUGCUGUGGUCCAUUCUUAGAUUGUGAAGAGCUAAAGGUUAGAGAAGAUUAAGAUUAUUCCUAAUAGCAGAAUAGAAACCUGAAGGAAGAUUGUGGUCUCUGGAGCAACAUCAUCAUCCAGGUGAAAAGAGAGUAGGUGGCCGAUCCCCACUAAGUAAGAGAAUCAAGUUGAAUGGCAUUGAGUAUGUAUUUUAUAGGGUAAUGGGAAAAUCUUGUGUACAGUCAUCAAGACAUGAUGGGGAGAGAACAAAAGCUUCAUCUGAGAGUGCAAGGAUAAUUAACUAGUUCCUUCAACUUGAGCCAUGCUGUGUGCAGUGCCCUACCCGGUAGGUACUGAUCACUUAGCCUACGUGUAAUUAGUACCUGUCUGGGUAGAGUAAGGCCAACAAGAACAACAUUUGAGGAGGCAUUCAGACCAGUGAAUAAGAUGGAGAUGCAUUGGGCCUUGAGUUGUGUGCUUUGCACUCAGGAGGGUCCUGACAGCCACGUUGGUUUGAUCUCAGGCAUCCUAGAGAGGAUUGCUGUCACUGGGUCCUAAGUAUGUGAACACCUGCAGGUUAUAGAAGAAGAUUCUUCCAAAAAGGAAAGAGGAGCAAGCUUGUUCUCUCUCUAGGUCCUCAUAAUUACCCAAGUAAGCAUAGAAGAGGAGAGGUGAUCCCCAGUGAGAGAGGAGUGCAAGUUAGAGGCAGUGAAUGGGCACUGUCCAAGGUUAUUGAAACAUCUUGUAUACAGUCAUCUUGAUGUGGGGAGAGAGAUGAGGGCUCCAUUGGAGAGGGCGAGUGGAUUGGGCAGGUUCUCUCAAUUUAGCCAUGCUGUGUGCAGUGUCCUACUCAGAAAGCUGGUGAUCGCUUAGACUACGUGUAGUUGCUACCUUCCUGGGUGGAGUGAUGCUUGACAGGAACAAGCUGGGUGGUGGCUAGUAGCAGUGAUGGAAGUGGAGCUGCAGGUAUCCUUGAGCUGGUCUGCCUUGCACUCAGGAGGGCCCUGACAACAACCUGGAUCUCAGGCAUCCUCAAGAUGAUUUCAGUGGGCCAUUCCUACCAGCGUGAUCUCUUCCAGGUUAGAGAAGAUGAAAAGAGUUCCUAAUAGAAGAUGGGAAAAUAGGGGCAAGCUUGUUCUCUGUGGAUCCUCAGGAUCAUCUGGUAGAGAUAGAACAGGUGAGGGGAUUCUCACUGAGAGAGGGUUGCGUUUGGAGGGCACCGGGUCUCUCUUGUCUAGGGUUGUAGAAAAACUUGGGUACAGUCCUUGUGACACUCUUGGGACAGAGAUGAAAGGUACUUUUGGGCAGAUCCUCCACUUUGAGCCAUUCUGUGUGCAGUGCCCUACCCGGUAAGGUAGUGAUCACUUAGAUGAGGUGUGAUCACUGCCUGUCUGGGUGGAGUAACGCACAACAGGAACAAUGUUUGGGAGGGUCUUCAGACUGGUGCUUGGGAUGGAGAUGGAUGUGUCCGCGAGGUGAUGCCUCCAACUCUGGGGGGCUGUGCAGUCAUCAUGGUUGAAUCUCAGGUAUUCACAUGAUGAUUUCCAUUUUCCGUUCCUAACAAAAUCCACUCCUGUAUCAUUGAGAGGAUGAAGGCACCAGCUUAGAGAAAUGUAAAUUUCGUAUGACUGUGCAAGGGUCAUUGCGAGGGUCAUCCACCUUGAAGCCAUGCUUCAGGAACUGUCCAGACAAGAAUGGUGCUCGUCAUUAAGACUACAUGUAAUUAGUGCAUGUCUGGGAUGGGUGAUGCUCAACACCACAAUGUUUGUGGUGGCCUUUGUAUGAGUGAUGGGGGUGGAGAUGGGUCCUUGAGCUGCCUAAUUUGAACUCACUAGGGACAUGGCUGCCAACUGAAUGCCAUGUAUGCAUCAUAUGGUUUGAUUGGUCCAUUCGUAAUAAUGAUAAUGUUUAGGGGUUAGAUUAGAUAAAGAUAUUUCCUAUGAGAGGAAGAGAGAAUUAGGAGCCAGCUUGUUCUCUCUGAAACCUCUUACUCAUCCAAGUAAACACAGAGGAGGGGAGGUGAUCCCAACAUCGGGAGCAUUGGAAGUUGGAGUGCAGUGGGCCAGCAUUGUUUGAGAUUAUGGAAAAAUCUUGGGUACAGUCAUCAUGACAUGGUGGGGAGACAACAAAUGCUUCCACUGAGAGUGUGAGGAAGACUGGGCAGAUGCACCACCUUGAGCCAUGCUGUGUGCGGUGCAGUAUCCAGAAGGUACUGAUCACUCAGCCUGCGUGUAAUUAGUACCUGUCUGGGUAGAGUAACGCUCAACAAGAACAACAUUUGUGGAGGCCUUCAUACUGGUGAAUAGGAUAGAGAUGUAUUUCUUCUUCAGGUGUGUGCUUUGCCAUCAGGUGGGCCCUGACAGCUACAUGGGUUCGAUCUCAGGCAUCCUACAAAGAAUGGCUAUUAUCCUUUCCUAAAUAUGUGAACACUGAUAGGUUAGAGAAGACUAAGAUUAUUUCUGAUAAGAAAGAUGAGCAAGCCUGUAGUGUCUGGGUCCUUGUAAUUGUCCUGGUAAACGUAGAAGAGGUGAGGUGAUCCCCAGUGAGAGAGGAGUGCAGUUUGGAGGGCAGUGGGUGGGCAGUGUCCAGGGUUAUGGAAACGUCUCAUGUACGGUCAUCAUGAUGUGGGGAGAGAGAUGAGGGCUACAUUGGAGAGGGUAAGUGGGAUGGGGCAGGAUCUCCCACUUCAGCCAUGUUGUGUGCAGUGUCCUACUCGGAAAACUACUGAUCACUUAGAGGACAUGUAGCAACAGCCUUUCUGGGUAGAAUGAUGUUCAACAAGAACAACAUUGCUGGUGGCCGGUAGCAGUGACAGGAGUGGAGCUUCAGGUAUCCUUGAGCUGGCCUGCCUUGUUAUCAGGGGAUUCCUGAUAGCCACCUGGAUCUCAGGCAUCCUCAAGAUGAUUUCAGUGGGCCAUUCCUACCAGCGUGCUCUCGUACAGGUUAGAGAAGAUGAAAAGACUUCUUAAUAGAAGAAGAGAAAAUAGGAACAAGCUUGCUCUGUGUGGCUCCUCUUAGUCAUCCGCUAAACAUAGAGCAGGUGAGGGGAUUCUCACUGUGGAAAGGUUGCUGUUGGAGGGCACUGGGUCUUCAUUGUCUAGGGUUAUAGAAAACCUUGGCUGCAGUCACUGUGACAUGCUUGGGACACAGAAGUGAAAGGUACUUUUGAGGAUGUGAGGAGAACUGGGCAGAUUCUCCACUUUGAUCCGUUCUGUGUGCAGUGCCCUACCCAGCAAGGUACUGAUCGCUUAGACGAGGUAUGAUCAGUGCCUGUCUGGGUGGAGUAAUGCUCAACAAGAACAACAUUUGGGAGGUUAGUCAGACUGGUGCUGGGGAUGGAAAUGGAUGUGUCCGUAAGGUGCCUGCCUCCAACUCUGGGGGGUCGUGCAGCCUCCCUGGUUGGAUCUCAGGUAUCCACAUGAUGAUUUCUGCCUUCGUUUGCUAACAAUAUGAACCCCUGUGAAUGUUUGAGAGAAUGAAGAUAUUGGCUUAUAGAAAUGUAAAUUUCGUAUGACAGUGCGAGUGGCAUUGUGUCGAUCCUCCAGCUUGAAGCCAUAUUUCAGGCUCUGUGCAGCUCAGAGUGACACUCAUCAUUUCGACUACAUGAAAUUGGUACCAGUCUGAGAAGAGUGAUGCUCAGCCAAAUGACAUUUGUGGCGGCCUUUGCAUGAGUGCUAGGGUUGGAGGUGGGUCCUUGAGCUGCCUAACUUGAACUCACUAGGGCCAUGGCUGCCAACUGAAUCCCCUGCAUCCACCAUAUGAUUUCAUUGCUCCAUUCGUAAUAAUGUGAAUGUUUAGAGGUCAGAGUAGAUGAAGUUAUUUCCUAGGAGAAGAAGAGAAAAUAGGAGCAAGCUUGUUCUCUCUGGGAUCUCACAGUCGUCAAAGUACAGGCAGAGGUGACGUGAUCCCCAUGUCAGAAGCGUUGGAAGUUGCAGGGCUGUGGGUCAGCAUUGUCUAAGGUUAUGGAAUAAUCUUAGCUACAGUCAUCAUGAUGUGGUGGGGAGAGUCACAAAACCCACACCGGACAGCAUGAAGGGGACUGGGCUGUUCCUCCACCUUGAGCCAUGCGGUGUGCAGUGCCCUGGCCAGAAUGGUGUCGAAUGCUCAGCCUACAUGUAUUCGGUGCCUUCUGGGUAGCAUAGUGCUCAACAUGACCGACGUUCUUGAUAGCCUUAUGACCAGUGUUUAGAGUGGAGCUUCAGGUGUUGUUGAGCUUUCUGCCUUGACCUUAGAAGGCCGUGCAUCCACCUGCAUCACAGCCUUCCUCAUGAUGAUGUAGUCUGUUCCUAACGUGGUGAAACCUACAGGUUAGAAAAAGUGAAGAUUAUUCCACAUACAAGGAUAGAAAAGCGGAUGAAGCUUGUCCUCUCUCGAUCCACAUCUUCCAUAUAAAUAUUAGCAGGUGAGCUGAUCCCCACGGAGGAAGAUAGUUCAGUUAGAUGGCAGUGAAUAUUUGCUAGGGUUCUGGAAAUACUUUAUGUACAGUCAACAUGUUAUGCUGGGAGAGUAUGAAAGCUUCAUCUGAGAGUGCAAGAAGGACUGGGCAGAUCCUCCACCCUGAGCCAUGUCAUGUGCAGUGCCCUGCCGGGAAGGUACUGAUCACUUAGCAUAUGUGUAAUUAGUACCUGUCCGGGUAGAGUAAUGCUCAAGAAGACCAUCAUUUUUGGAGACCUUCUGCCUGGUAUUGGAGAUGGAGAUGCAUGUGUGCUUGAGUCAUUGCCUUGAACUCAGGAGGGCCCUGCCUGACAGGCACGUGGGUUUGAUCUCAGGUGUCCUGAAAAUGAUUGGUUUCAUUCGUUCCUAUGUUAACUCCUAAACAUUGCAGAAAAUUAAGAUUUUUCCCAAUAGAAAAUAGGCAUAUGCUUGUUCUCUCUGUGUCCUCAUUAUUAUUCAGGGAGACCUAAAGCGGGUGUGGUGACGCCCACUCAGAAGGGGAAGUAUGUUGGAGGGCAUUGGGUCAACGUUUUCUAGGCUUAUGGUGAAUUCUUGGGAACAGUCAUGAUGUGGUGGGGAUGAAGAGGAAAUGAACCUUUGAGAGUGCGAGGGGCAUUGGGUUUGACCUGCACCUUGAGCUAUGCUGUAUUCAAUGCAUUGCCCAGAAUGGUGCCGACUAUUUUGAAUACGUGUAGUCAGUGCCUUCUAGGUAGGGUGAUGCUUGUCCAAACAAUGUUUUGCUGACAUCCAUGUGGAUCUAAGGCAUCCUCAAGAUGAUUGCUGUGGUCAGUUCCUAACAACGUGUACUCCCACAAGUUAGAGAAGAUGAAGAUGAUUUCUAAUGGAAGAAUAGAGAACUGGAGGAAGGUUUUUCUCUCUGCGUCCUCAUAGUCAUGCGGGUAAAUAGAGAGCAUUGAGCCUACCCCAAGGAGGAAAAGAAUCAAAUUGGAUGGCAAUGUGUCAGUGUUUUCCAGGAUUAUGAAAAAUCUUGUGUAUGGUCAACAUGUUGUGAGGAGAGAGAUCAAAGCACCAUUUGAGAGUAUGAGGUGGAAUGUUCAGGUUCUAUGUAUUUAGCCGUGAUGUGUGCAGUGUCCUACCCAGAAAUGUACUGAUCACUUAGACUACAUGUAUUUGGUGCCUUUCUGGGUAGAGUGAUGCUCAACAGGAACAACAUUGGUGGCAGCCAGUAACAGUGAUAGGAGUGGAGCUGUGGGUAUCCUUGAGGUGGCCUGCCUUGCACUCAGGAGUGCCCUGACAGCCACUUAGAUUUCAGGCAUCCUCAUGAUGAUUUCAGUGGACGAUUCAUACCAACGUGAUCUCGUGCAGGUUAGAGAAGAUGAAAAGACAUCCUAAGAGAAGAAGAGAAAAUAGGGACAAGCUUGUUCAUUGUGGAUCCUCAUAAUUGUCUUGUACACAUAGAACAGGCAAGGAGAUUCUCAGUGUGGGAGGGUUGCAGUUGGAGGGCAGUGGGUUGUCACUGUCUAGGGUUAGAGAACCACAUGAACAUAGUCAUCGUGACCUGGUGGGGACAGCAGUGAGAGCGGUGAGAGAAUCUGUGGGGAAUGGGUCAGGUCUUCCACUGGAGCCAUUCUUUGUGUAGUGCCCUACCCAUAAAGGUACGGAUCACUGAGGCUAUUUGUAAACGUGCCUGUCUGGGUAGAUUAAGACUCAACAGGAAAAAGGUCUGAGAUUGCCUUCAGUCUGGUGAUAGGGAUGAAAUGUAUGUUUCUUUGAGCUGCUGAUCCAGAGUACAAGAGGUCCCUUUCAGCUAACUGGGUCUGAACUCAGUCAUCUUGUAUAUGAUGUCAGAGCUCCGUUCAUAACAAUGCACACACUAAUGAGUUAGAGUAGAAGAAGAUACCUUCUAACAGAAAGAGACAAAACAUGAGCAAGCUUGUUCUCCCUGGGAAUUCAUAAUUGUCCAUGUAAACAGGGAGGAGGUGAGGUGAUUCCCACUAGGGAGGUUUGCAAGGUGGAGGGCAGUGGGUUAGUAUUAUCUAGGGUCAUGGAAGAAUCUAGACUACAAUCAUAAGGAUUUGAUGGGGAGAGUUAUGAAAUAUACAUUUGCGAGUGCAAGGCGGACUGUGCCCGUCCUCCACCUUGAGCCAUUUUGUGUGCAGCGCCCUGCCCAGAAUGGUUCCGAUUACGUAGAUUAAGUGUAGUCGGUGCCAUCUGGGUAGAGCGAUGCUCAACAUGAACAACGUUUGGGGUGUCUUUCAGAGCAGGUGUGGGAGUGGAGAUUGAGGUGUUGUGGAGCUUCCUGCCUUGACCUCAGGAGGGCCCUGGCAUCCACCUAGGACUCAGGCAUCCUCAAGAUGAUUGCUGUGGUCUCUUCCUUAUCCUGUGAACACCUACAGGUUAGAGAAGAUGAAGAUUAUUCCUAAUAGCAUCAUAGGAAACUAGAGGAAACGAGUCCUCUCUGCAUCCAUAUGUUCAUCCAGGUAAGCAUAGAGCAGGUGAGCAGAUCCCCACUAAGGAAGAGAAUCAAAUUGGAUGGCAGUCAAUCAGUACUUUCUAGGGUUAUGGAAAAAUCUUGUGUACAGUCGUCAUGACAUGGUGGGGAGACAACGAAUGCUUCAUCUGAGAGUGUGUGGAGGACUGGGCAGAUCCUCCACCUUGAGCCAUGCUGUGUGCAGUGCCCUACCCGGAAGGUACUGAUCACUUAGCCUACAUGUAAUUAGUACCUGUCUGGGUAGAGUAAUGCUCAACAAGAACAACAUUUGUGGAGGCCUUCAGACUGGUGAAUGGAGGGAGAUGCAUUUGUCCUUGAGUUUGUGCCUUGAACUCAGCAGGGCCCAGACAGCCACCUGGGUUGAUCUCAGGCAUGCUAGAGAGGAUUGUUGUUGUCCUUUCUUAACUCUGUGAACACCUACAGGUUAGAGAGAGGAAGAUUCUUCCUAAUAGGAAAGAGGAGCAAGCUUGUUCUCUCCGUGUGUCCUCAUAAUUACCCAAGUACACGUAGAAGAGGUGAGGGGAUCCCAAGUGAGAGAGGAGUGCAACUUGGAGGCAGUGGAUGGGCACUGUCCAGGGCUAUUGAAACGUCUUGUGUAAAGUCAUCUUGAUGUGGGGAGAGAGAUGGAGCUCCAUUGGAGAGGGCGAGUGGAUUGGGCAGGUUCUCUCAAUUUAGCCAUGCUGUGUGCAGUGUCCUACUCAGAAAGGUGGUGAUCGCUUAGACUACAUGUAGUUGGUACCUUCCUGGGUGGACUGAUGCUCAACAGGAAGAACCUGGGUGGUGGCUAGUAGCAGUGAUGGAAGUGGAGCUGCAGGUAUCCUUGAGCUGGCCUGUCUUGCAGUCAGCAGGGCCCUGGGAAGCCACCUGGAUCUCAGGCAUCCUCAAGAUGAUUUCAGUGGGUCAUUCCUACCAUCGUGAUCUCGUCCAGGUUAGAGAAGAUGAAAAGAGUUCCUAAUAGAAGAUGAGAAAAUAAGGGCAAGCUUCUUCUCUGUGGCUCCUCAUGAUUGUCUGGUAGAUAUAGAGCAGGUGAGGGGAUUCUCACUGAGGAAGGGUUGCAUUUGGAGGGCACUGGGUCUUUCUUGUAUAGGGUUGUAGAGAAACUUGGGUACAGUCCUUGUGACAGUCUUGGGACAGGGAUGAAAGGUACUUUUGAAGAUGUGAGGAGAACUGGGCAGAUACUCCAUUUUGAUCCAUUCUGUGUGCAGUGCCCUACCCAGCAAGGUACUGAUCACUUAGACGAGGUAUGAUCAGUGCCUGUCUGGGUGGAGUAAUGCUCAACAAGAACAACAUUUGGGAGGGUCUUCAGACUGGUGCUGGGGAAGGAGAUGGAUGUGUCUGUAAGGUGCCUGCCUCCAACUCUGGGGGGUCGUGCAGCCUCCCUGGUUGGAUCUCAGGUAUCGAAAUGAUGAUUUCUCUGGUCAAUUUCUAAUAAUAUCAACCCUGUGUUUGUCCAAGCUGAUGAAGAUACUGGCUUAGAGAAACGUAAAUUUCAUAUGACAGCACGAAGGGCAUUGUGGCGAUCCUCCGGCUUGAAGCCAUGCUUCAUGCAAUCUCCAGCCCACAGUGGCGCUCCUCAUUACGACUACAUGGAAUUGUUACCAGUCUGGGACGAGUGAUGCUAAGCCAAACGACGUUUGUGGCGGGCUUUGUAUGAGUGCUGAGGUUGGAGGUGGGUCCUUGAGCUGCCUAACUUGAACUCACUAGGGCCAUGGCUGCCAACUGAAUCCCCUGCAUCCACCAUAUCAUUUCAUUGCUACACUCGUAAUAAUGUGAAUGUUUAGAUGUCAGAGUAGAUGAAGUUAUUUCCUAGGAGAAGAAGAGAAAAUAGGAGCAAGCUUGUUCCCUCUUGGAUCUCGUGAUCAUCCAGUAACCCUGGAUAUGGUGAGAGGAUUCUCACUAAUGGAGGGUUGCGAGUCAGAAGGUAGUGAGUUGUCAUUUUCUAUGGUUAUCUAAACAUCUUGGGUACAAUCAUCAUGAUGUGGAGAGGAGAGAGAUGGAAUCUACAUUUGAGAAUGCAUGUAGGACUGGGCAGCUUGUCCACCUUGAUCCAUGCUGUGCGUUGUGCCCUGCCUGAAGGAUGCCGAUUACUUAGACUAGGUUUAAUUGGUGUCUUCUUGGUUGAGUGAUGAUCAUUAAGAAAAACUGUUGUCGUAGCCCUAGGACCAGUAAUUGCGGUGGAGGUGCAACAGUCCUUGAGCUUCCCUUCUUGAACCCACCUGGAUCUCACUCAUCCUCAAGACCUUUAGGGUCUAACUAUGCCAUGGGCCAAUGAGGGUUAUCCCAAUUGAUAUCAGAAUGCAUUCUCAUAAUGUAUCUUGCUCAGCCUCUAAAUACCGAGUAAAGGAAACAAUCUUGGUUUUGGGUUUUGUGGGAGAAAUUUGCAAGUUUCUUCAUUGAUACCUGGAAAAGAUGUGAUAGGUUUAUAUGUAACCAUCAUAUUUUUAGAUUUUAUUGAUAUGUUUUAUAAUUUUGUAUAUUUAUCGUUUUUUCUGAUAAGUGGUUUUCUUGUGAACAUGCCUUCUAAUUUUUUUCUAUUUUUCACCCGUCCAUUUUACUCUUGACACUAAUUGCUGUUCUAGUUGUAUGUGGUUCUGAAAUUGUUUUCAGUGAAAUUUUAUUUCACGUAAUCUCUCUCUGAAUGCUUUAAGUAAUUAGCAAUCUUGAAGUUUUCUCUUGCAAAGGUUUAUUUUAUUCAGAGAUCUAAGCUCUAAAAUAAUGAUUUGAAAUGGCUUUGUGUCCUCAUCCAGGUUUGCUAUGAGCUCUUCGUAAAACAGUAAUUUCUAGAGAAAUUUAGGUAUGAGUAAUCGAUAGUUUAACUAAUGUUAAUAAUCAGAUAUAUGUUUUUUUAUUAAGAGAAAUGUUUUCGUUAUGGUCAAAUAAGAAAAUAUAUAUGAGAAAAAUCUGCAUGAAAUUCUGAAUUCUAUUACCUCAUUGCUGAAUAUGCGUGUUCCCUUUAUAGCCACCGUCUUGAGGGUGUCUUGGUUGCUUGCUUAUGUCCAAACUUAUCAAGCUGUAUGCACUAACCGGGUGCAGUUUUUGGUAUAUCAAUUAUACCUCAAUAAAGCUGUUAAAAAAAGAAAGAAAAACAAAGUAUAUUACCUCCUAAAUAAGCAUUCCUUCAGCAAGUGAAUUAUGAUUACUACUGCCAUCACCCCUGCUGCUGCUCCUCUGAGUUUAACUAGUACUGAUCCUACUCCUGCUCUGUUUAUUUGGAGCACAGACAACACUUUACGUGGUCACCUUUUAACAGGGUGGUAUCCCUGGCAAUAUUCAUGGCUAUAGGACCUGGCUAUAUCACAUAUGACAUAACUUUUUUAAGAAAUAAUGUUGUUCUGUUGAUACAUAUGGAUAUUUUAAAAUUCUCAGCAAGUUGAGUAAAAUGAGGAAAUGAUUUUGAUAAUUUAAUAAUACCGUGUAAGGAUCAUGCUCUUCUAGAACACAUAUUUCGCCAAUUCCGUAUGCUUGGUGUUCAUCACACAGCUAUAUUUUUCAUGUUACACGAAAGAUGUAGAUACCCAUGUUUAACUGUAAUUUCCAGGGCAUAAUGGUUCAUUUCUGUUUCAUAUAUUUAUUGAUAUAUAUAUAUAUAUUUAAUUUGCUUAUUCUUUAGAACACUUCAUUUAUAUUCAUGCCUGGAUAGAUUCAUUUUCAUUCAAUUCAAGCCUUGAAGACUGAGGGAACACAUUGUGGAGGGUAUAGGUUAAUGGCUACAAAUGACAAAAAAUUUUGAUUUUUUCAGCCACAAUUUCAAAUUAUACAGUAGGGCUUUAUCCAUGCCUCUGUUGCUUUGAACUCAGCUUCUCUUCUUCAUCCAUGUUGACACUCUUCAGAUGAUUGCAUUUUAUAUUGAUAUGCAUUUUGGUUCCUGCUAUUGUUAUCACUCAAUUAUUAUCUUCUUUGUUUAGGUCACUCUUGAGUUUCACCAGGUUAGACCUGAUUGCACUGCUGAUUUUAAAGUUGUAAAAGAAGCAACAUUUUGUUUGUACUACCUGGAGUAAGGUUGCUUCCAGUUGAUGCAGUUCCUUUUCCUUGCCACUGGGACCCAAGACACCUGGAGAACUCUAGCAUGAAUGAUGGGCAGGGGCAGAGUAAAAUUGCUUUUCACUUAAAUGCAGGAUUUCUUUGUUUACGUGUGAGGAAUUUGCUUUGAUAGUGGUGGAAAUUAAUGAUAUGAGAAUAUAGUCAUUGAUGUGUCUUUCACUAGGUUACAGAAACAUUUAGAAUAUAUCUCCUCACCUUUAACACCAAUUCUAUAAUUAAUAACAAUUUUUAUGAUGAAGUGUGUUGAGGAUGAAUUUAACAUGUGAAUGAAAUCUAAGCACCCGGAUUGGCAGGUAAGUUAGCAUUAAGCCAGUGUUAAAGAUGGUCGUUAUUAGUGUUUAAUAAUUAUGGCUGUCUUAACAUUAAAAUUUAUGACCGUUUUCUUACAGAUAGGAAGCACUGGUGAGAGUAAAGUUAAGAGACUUGGUUAUUUCCCCCAUAGAAAGAGAGUUGAAUAUUCAUGUUGGAGUUUUUUGUAUUAUUUUUUCAUGAUAAAAAUAUUUUUGUCUCACAGUGACCAGAGAAUCAAAGAGAUAUAUGUGGAUAGAUCUGCAUAUUCCACAUUUACAUUUUAAUAGUGUUUACUUUGUUAAACCUUAAUGUUCAAAUCCAUUUUCUCCUUUUGAACAAACAUAUACUGUGGUGUUUAACUUUGUGUGUCAUCUUGGCCAGGCUGUGGUACCCAAAUUUGGUCAAACACGAGUAUAGAUGUUGCUGUGAAUUAGGAUUCAAAUCAGUAGACUUUAAGUAAGGCAGAUUACCCUCUAUAGUGUGGGUGAGCCACAUCCAAACAGUUGAAGGCCAGGUCCCCCAAGGGAGAGGAGAUUCUGCCUCCAGACUGCCACAGGGACUCGAGAUGCAACAUCAGCUCUUCCCUGGGUCUCCACUCUGCCAGGCUGCUCUGCAGAUUUCAGACUUACCAGCCCAAACAAUCACGUGAGCCAAUUCCUUCAAAUAAAUCUCUUUUUCUCUCACUCUCCUCUUUAUGUUUGUGUGUGUAAAUCUGAUUGGUCCUGUUUCUCUGGAGAACCCUAAUACAUAUUCCAUGUCAUCUUAAAAGAAGCUGACAAGGGGCCAGCCCAUUGGUGUAGUGGUUAAGUUCACACACACUGCUUCGGUGGCCAGGGGUUCGUGGGUUUGGAUCCCAGGCCAAGCCUACACACCACUUGUCAAGCCAUGCUAUGGUGGUGUCCCAUAUACAAAAUAGAGGAAGAUUGACACAGCUGAUAGUUCAGGGAAAAUCUUCCUCAAGCAAAAAGAGGAAGAUUGGCAACAGAUAUUAGCUCAGGGCCAGUCUUCCUCACCCCCUCCCAAAACAAGAAAGAAAAAGAAAAGAAACUGACAUGUAUUUCUGUGAGUAUGUGUAAUGUGGCUUCAUUUUUCAACAGAUGGGAUUAUGCCCUGAGCUUUGUGUAAUAUGGUGAAACCAUGAGUGUGAAAAAGACUGAUAUCCUACUACAUCAAAUGCUUUUUCUGGUUAAAGUUUAAAAUGUAACUAUUUCAUGGUAUCAACUUUAAGGUUAGUGAUAGAAACUAAGGAUGCAAUUUUUUUAACCUUUUACAUGUUUUCCCUUAUGCUGCAACAACACACAAUUCUUUUAUAGCAAAGUCUCUGUGAGUUAUUUGGGCAAUAACUCCAUAUGUUGAUUACUUUCUUUAAUUUUGAUAUUACCAUGUAGGAUCUGGUUUGUGAAAUGAUCCUCCUCAUUCUUCAUUUUUGAGGAUUUCUGGGAUAAUCUGAUUCAUUUAUAUAUAGGCAUUAAAAAAUAGCAUUACUUUGUCAAAUUUCCCUGAAUGUAACAUUUAACUUUCUGACAUUGCUUUUGCAAUGAGGGACUUUGGGCAAAAUGAAAAUCUUUACAAAGUAGAACUUGCUCAUCUGAUGUGAGUAUGUGCUAUACAGAUUUUGUUUUCUUCAGGAAAGUCAUGCUGUGGUCUUCAUAGAUAGGUAGAAUGAAUGUUAUAGGUUUAUUCCUAGCAUUUCUAUUUCUAUUUCUUUUUGUGUUGAUUAUAUUCUUAUCCCCAUCAUUUGUGCUGACUGAUUAUUGGUGGUGGACAGUUAACAUGCCUACUUUUGCCAACUCAACUUACAUCUCUAUCAUUUUGUAUCAUUUUUAGCCCACUUUAGUUGGAGAAUUGCAUUUAAAGGUUUUAUGAAGUAGAAUUAAAUAAACCUUCUAAACACGUAGACCUUUUAUCAACUGCUUUACCAUAGAGUAGCAAAAUAGGUGGAUAGCACCUUAAUUGUUAACUUUUUAAAUCACAUCUUCCUAAGUCUUUCUCAGACUUUCUUUUAUACUGAUUCAUUUUUACUCUGAGAACUUGGUGGUAACAUCUGGAUUUUUGAAGGACUUGGCUUCCAGUACAUCCUGUGUCAUCACUGUGUCCUCCUGAGUCACUGCCCUCUGGAGACUUUUUGGUAUGAAAAACAGGACACUGUAGUGUAUGGGUUACUUUUAUCUCGUCAGAGGAAUUCCUGAAAGAAGCUCUUUUUUGGUAGUCUGGUUCCAAAAGUAUUUUCAGAUGUUGCCUCAUGACAAAUCAGGGCUGUAGAGUUACUAAAAGUUUAUUCAGUUCUGGGUUGUGAGUGUCUAACCACAGAAAUGUUUCAUGUACCUUGUCUCCCAGGUGGAGUUUAUCAGCUAUUUGUCAAGUUACCAAAAAGUUCCCACAGAGAUUUUAAUCUGAUUAUCUUAAAAACAUAGAUGAAAUUGAGAAAAUUCCACAUUUCUACAGUGUCAACUUCAUGUUUGGGAGCAUGGGUGCUGUGACCUCUGCUGCACAUGAGAUAAAUUGAACUUGGAGAGGUUAAUGUCACAUAGGAAGUAAAAGGUCCCCGUUUCCUUUCCCUUUUUUUGCAUCCGUGCUUCUUCAUCCUUUCCUUUUGUUGGUUUAAUGAUAUAGUAUGUAUUUCGGCAGACAUUUCUUCAUGUGCAUAAUAUCCUCCACAGUCCUAUUUUUUCAGGUCCAUAUGUUGGUACAUGUCCUUCCACUGGUUUUUCAACCUUAAACACACAUAAACAUUAUAGUUCCUGGGUUUGCUAUGAGGAUUUCAGAAGAUAAUCCACACUUAGCACAGUUUUUGGAAACUAAACCCUAGCCUCAGUUCUUGAAAUACUGUUGGAGGAAGUCAUCAAGAGUACGUGACUGCCAGUUGACCUGAGAGCUGGACCCAGGCAAUUGGAGGCUCCUUAACUUUCCCCUGCCUUGGGAAUGGACGUUCCACCCACUAUUCCCACUCUUGGAGGCAUUUCAGGGAUGCAGCUUGAGAUAAUAAUGUGUUGUUGAGACCAUCCGGACAGUAUACGCAACUGAACCCAGGUAAGGCCCCUAUACGGCACACCUUGGGGAUAUUGCAGGUUUAGUUCCAGACCACUGCAAUAAAGCGAAUAUCACAAUAAAACAAGUCACAUGAAUUUUUGGUUUCCUAGUGCAUAUAAAGUUAUGUUUACACUAUCCUGUAGUCUAAAAAGUGUGCAACAGCAUUAUGUCUAAAAAAUACCAAUGUAUGUGCCUUAAUUAGGGGCUGGCCCAGUGGUGCAGUGGUUAAUUGUGCAUUUCUGCUUCUCGGCAGCCUGGGGUUUACCGGUCCGGAUCCCGAGUGCGGACAUGGCACUGCUUGGCAAAAGCCAUGCUAUGUUAGGUAUCCCACAUAUAAAGUAGAGGAAGAUGGGCAUGGAUGUUAGCUCAGGGCCAGUCUUCCUCAGCAAAAAGAGGAGGAUUGGCAGUAGUUAGCUCAGGGAUAAUCUUCCUCAAAAAAAAAAUUAUAUAUAUAAUUUAUUGCUAAAAAAUGCUAACCAUCAUCUGAACCUUUUGUGAGCCAUAACCUUUUGGUGGUGGAGGAUCUUGUAAAAAACGCAACAUCUGUGAAGCACAAUAAAGCAGAGAGCAAUAACAUGAGGUAUGCGUGUGUAAACUUUAAGAUUCUGACAGGCAGAUUCAGAGAUCUACUCUUCUUGCGACUGCCCAAGACAAGCCCCUUAUGUAAGUUCCCUUACUUAUUAAAACUGCCACCUACCAAUCUGGAGUGGCCUACUUCAGUCUUCAGUCUCUCCUUGCCCACCAUGUACGGGGGCCAAUUUCAUACUUCUCCCAGGGAACUCCCAAGUUUGCAUACCAACAAAUACCUAGCCAAAAAAGGCACAUGGGAAGUUUUCACCGAAUUACCUUAAUAUUAAGAAUAUAUUUGAGAGAUGGCCAACCCUGUGGCCAAAUCAUUAGCUUCGUGCACUCCACUUUGGUUACCCGGGGUUUGGCCAGUUUGGAUCCUGGGGCCAGACCUAGCAUGGCUCAUCAAGCCAUGCUGAGGGGCGUCCCACAUAGCAGAGCCAGAAGGACCUACAACUACAAUAUACAACUAUGUACUGAGGGGCUCUGGGGAGAAAAAGGAAAAAAAGUUUGGCAGCAGAUGUUCGCUCAGCACCAGUCUUUAAAAAGAUAAAAAGAAUGCAUUUGAGAAAAAUCUCUCUAUUUGAUAUUGAAUCUUUCUGUAUUAGAUCAUGUGUGCAUAUAUUUUCUUUAUUCAAAUCACCUGGAAUAGGUCUCAGAAAGUUUUCUAAUAUUUUUUAAAAUAGGUCCUAAACAAUUCUUAGUAAGAUUAUUUCUAGAUAAUUCUCAUCUACUUAUUUUUGAGUGGAUACUGAAUUCAAAUACCUCUUUUAAUAUCGAAAUACUUUUAUUUGACACACAGAUGUCAAUCUCAUAUGUAUAUAGAAAAUACUUUGCAUAAAGAUAAUUUAUUCAAAAUUAUUUGUAAUGAUUUAUAUUCAAAAUUAGAUGCUAGUUCAAAGGAUCCCCUUUUCAUUCUGUGCUGUACAAUCUGAGCCUCAUGUUGCUAAAUGCCUUUUUGAAUGAAUUAUAGCUCAUAUGCAGUAAAAUUAUCUGUUUUUAUGUUUCUUUUCUGUCUACCCAAAUUACUAAACUGUCCUUUCAAUUCUCAUUAGGUUGCAUUUGGCCCUUUUUGAUUUCUCUAUAUUAUAAGUAACAUCGGUGAUCAGAAAAUGCUCUAAACAACCACAUCGCGUAUUUGUUUCUUUUUUAUAAAAUACAACACAGGAUCAUAUACACAGAAUUUUACUUUGCAGCUUUAUUUCUCACCUAACAAUAGUAAGCGGCAUGCACUGGGACAAGAUGUUCCGUGGAUUCGAGUUCCUGAUUUCAACACUCUUGCCAAUGGGGAAUGUACUUGGGUACAUUGGGUGACGUAGGACUUGAAAUUUUUUCUCAAAUACCAAGUUACCUUCACACCUUUUCAUCACAUUUGUUCCAGGAAUAACUCUGAAUUCUGGAUCCCACAUAUAUUGUAAUUGUGGCUGCAGAAUACAGUCUCUGGGACAGACAUUCACCGUUUCUAUUUCUAGACCUUCUCUUGAAAUUCUCCUCUAAUCAAUAAUCUUAUAAACGUAAUUUGUCAUCCCCUUCUCAAAUUACCCUAAAAUGCUCAUUAAGAGAAAAAGUCAUUACUAUAAAAACUUAAAUGAAUUGUAGGAAUUUAACACACAGUCAAAUUUGAGCCUUCGCAUCAGGAUCAGAUCACGUGUUUAAAACCUUGUAUUCAAGCUGGUUUUCUACAUGAAGGCCCUUAACAAUUAUAAAGCUUAUUUCAAGGACCUUAUAUUUGUUCUGUUUAUUGAAUAUUCAGAAUAGAGUUGUCAUUUUUGUUGCUGUUGUUGUUUUGAUAAUCCUCCUUGCCAUUAUGUAUGUUUUCAGAAUUCCGCUGGCUCUGCUUGCUCAUAGCAUCUUUUCUUUUUAAAUGUAUUUUUUUAAUUUGUUAAUGAUAACUAGUAAAAUAUGAGUAGCUGAUAUGUCAUUUGCUUUUUCAAAUUAAUUAUUCAUUCUAAAAGUCAGGUAUUAUUUGAUACACCUCUCUUCUGUCUGUCCAGCGAAUUAAGUAUAUUACAGUUAUCAUCUUUUUGAGGUAAUUUUCUCAAAUUAUCUACGUUAGUAAAAGCAAUGGUAUAUUUUGUGCGUUGUAUAAUUCAAACCAGGGCCCAUGAAAUAUCAUCAUCAUCAUCAUCACAAUCAGUGUGCUACACAACCUUGUGGGCCAAAUCAGACUACCUCUUGCUUUUGGCUCUCGGCUCAGUUCCCUGUUCCCUCUUUCUCUUUGACCUCAGCUCUGGAAUUUGAGCCCUAAGGUUCACUUCUCAGAUGGAUUUUGCUGCCAGCUCCUGCGGGGGUGCCCAUGCAGCCUUUUGAAACCUCAAUUCCCUAGAGACCUUUUAGUAUCAAGAGUAGUGAUUUAACAACAGGGAUUAAAGUAAACUCAUUACAAGGAUUAGUCAAACUCAUAUCCUGCUAGGUAAGAAUGUAGUUUUUAAAUAGGAAGGCAACGUGUUACCUAAAAGUGUGUUUUGUUG